UUCGCGAGUCAAUCCCGAGCUCCUGACGCCGCAACCAAAAUGGCCUCGUCGCUGUCCUCCUCCGGCGCCGGCGGCCGGCCGCAUCGACGGAACCCUAGCCUGCGUACGGGCUCGGCGCCUGCGGCGGCGUCUUUGAUCCCCAUGCUCCCGGACGGCAUCACGGCCGUCAUCCUCUACCUGCUGACCUCCCCCGACCUGCUGCGCAACCUCCCGCGCUCGGCGCAUGGUCCUCUCCGCGGCCACGCUGCUCCCGCUCCGCCGCAGCCUCCGGCCGACACUUUUUCUGCCUCUUCCGCAACGAACCCUCCCUUGCCUCCCCGACCCUGCCGCCCCCACUGUCUGGUGCCCUGGUGACCCCUCCCGCCGCUCCCCUGCGGUUACGACGGGUACACCACAGUCCGGGGAGUGGUGCCAAAUAACGUGGGAGGGAGGGGAGAGGAAGCGGCUUGGACCCGUUGCAGCUUUAUCUGCGGAUAAUGGAAGGAUUACCGAGGUGUUCAUGCUCGACGGCAACCAUGUCUGCAGGCCCAUUCAUAGCAUGCUAUGUUGACCAUCUGUAGUCACCAUCUUUUGGCUCAAGACUCCUGGUGAAGCCUGAGGUCCAUGGAGGCAGCUGAAGAAGAAGCUGGACCUGGAGUUUCAGAACCGCAGCCUGCCUGGUGAAGAAGCUGGUGAAGCCAGCCUGUGACAAAUAAAUGCAGAGUGCUCACCACACCCAUUGGUUUCAGGACCGCAGCUGUCCGUGCAGUUGGAGACUCCGUUGGAGUCGUAGAUCCAUUGACGCUGACCGUUUAACUGUGUAGAUUCGGGUGGCAAAGCUGAGCAUCCAAUUGAAAAUACAGCCCGCCCAAAAUUUCCUACAACUGCAAGCGACUCGGAGCAGUUAUUAUUUUGUGGAGAUUUGUUGUGUGCCAGCGUGCGUAUACAUGGUCGAAGCAACAUACAUUGGCUGUACAGCACAGGAACGGAGAGCCGCUUUCCUUCUCCUAGAGGCAAGAGAAGAAGAAGGGAAGAGAAGACGAGGUGGAGAGAAGAGACGAAAACAAAAGCUUAAAGAAAAGGGCGUUCGUCGCCAUGAUGGAUCUUGGAUUGUUCUCCGGUCUCGGUCUCCCCGCUUCGCUUGAGGGGGUGUUUGGCAACACCCUGUUAAAGUUUAA